rnacentral:rRNA from 1 species
UACGUAGGUGGCAAGCGUUGUCCGGAUUUAUUGGGUUUAAAGGGUGCGUAGGCGGCCCUGUAAGUCAGUGCUGAAAUAUCCCAGCUUAACUGGGAGGGUGGCAUUGAUACUGCGGGGCUAGAGUACAGAUGAGGUAGGCGGAAUUGACGGUGUAGCGGUGAAAUUCGUAGAUAUUCGGAAGAACACCAGUGGCGAAGGCGGCUCACUGGACCGGCAUUGACGCUGAGGUGCGAAAGCGUGGGGAGCAAACAGG